AUACUAACCUUGCGUAGGGUGUACCGUGAUCAGGAAGGCGGUUGCCCCAGGGCGACGCCAGCCAUUGCACCUCGGUUGGACGACGGCGCUCUGUGACUAUCCCAAGUAGGGGUCAGUCGUGCGUGCAAUUUUUGAUAGUUGGACUUGCGUUAGAGCGCGGUCCAU